AAUCAACGCUGGCGGCGUGCCUAACACAUACAAGUCGAACGCGACUGGGGCUUCGGCCUCAGUUGAGUGGCGAACGGGUGAGUAACACGUGGGUGACCUACCUUCGAAUGGGGGAUAACGUCCCGAAAGGGACGCUAAUACCGCAUAACAUCCUGCCUUUGAACAGGCGGAGAUCAAAGCCGGGGAUCGCAAGACCUGGCGUUUGAAGAGGGGCCCGCGUCCGAUUAGCUAGUUGGUGAGGUAACGGCUCACCAAGGCGACGAUCGGUAGCCGGCCUGAGA
rnacentral:rRNA from 1 species